GUUUGACUAUCUUGAAUCUUGUUUUGUAACAGUUAAUUAUGUAACUUUUUCAUGUUGCAAGCUGCCUUGAGCGUAGAUUACUAUGGAAAUAAACCAUGAUGAUAAUGACCAGCGAGAUCAGCUGUGAAAUCCCUACUUUUUCACAAGCUCACCAAGUGACUAUGGGGGGGUGAAGGCAUGGCCAGCAGGGCUACAAGAUGGCUGCCUAGUUUCCCUGCUCUGCCUUCCUCUGGAUAAUGUUCCCAGAUUAAACAAGAACUAGGCAUGCUCAAGCUGAAUGCAGUUCUACAAUGGAUCACUUCCAUCAACCCCCGGAGCCACUCUUACACAUGCUGUGUUAGGAGGGGUAACACCCAUUCUCUGUCCUCUAGUUGCUGCAAUGAAGGAGCAGAAGAAGGGGAGGCAACAUACUCAAAAUAAACCCCCUUCAAAAGCCAACAGUGUGUGCUUUGACCCAGUGACAGAUAACACAACAGAACAAAGAACAAACAAGGAUGAAUACAGGUAUCAGUCCAGAAAAGGCCCAUCAAACCAUCAUAUAUUUCACAUCAAAAUAUUGUUCCAUAAUUGUCCAUGUACCAGGAAGCAAUCAGAAUUCAUGUUCCUUCAUUAUACCCCAACUAAUA